ACCGAACAAUUGAAGCCCAAUGCAAAGCCCAAACAAGAUCUUCCGAUCCAAGUCGGAGAUUGUACCCCAGACGGAGGGGUGGCAGUUCCAUUCCAGCCGUCCACGACGGGGCAAAAUGAUGGCUUCAACGGAAUCUUCUAUUUCUACUCGGAAAGAUGAGCUUCUUGAAGAUAGUAUAGACCUCUGAUGUUGAUGUUGGUCAUGAAUCAUUUAUGAAAACACCGAUCAUCGUAUAUUCUUUGGGGUGAAAGAAAAAGGCUCGAGCAACCUAGAUUUGGAAACUUUCUGAAGCAUGAUCAUCUGCAAAUGUAGCAUCAGAUGAGUACCCCUCAAUGUUUUAUACAUUCGUUUUUGUAUCGCCUUUCUCUGAGGGGCCGUGUAUGGAUAAAAUUGUUCCAAGUUCAUAGCAGCUUUUAAAUCUGUUAAUGUACCUAAGAAUAAAUAUAUGGUUUUUCAUAUUCACAUGAGUUUUAAGGUUUUUUCAAGUCCUAGUAGCUAGGUAUCUUAUUGAUUUUUCUUUCUUCCUGUGCCUAUUUGCAGAACUUUGGAAUUGAUGGGGAGUUGGUGGUAUAUUUUACCUGCUCCAUUGCUUGGGGCUAAUGUGCAGUCUGGUCUUUAGCCACAGAAUCAAGUUGUUCUCCUCCGGACGACAAAGCACAAAGCUCAAGAUCAUAUCCAGCAGUUGUUAAGAGUUGAUGUCGUCGAACAUUUGGUACCACUCCCAUGGCCCCCACCGAAACAAUGUAUUAUCCCAUCAAUCUUGUUGAAUUAUUUUGAACAAAUGGAAGUCAGGAACUCUCAUGAAAAUCAGAAACAAGAGGGAAAGAAAGGCGUUUUAGAGGGAGAAAUGCCUCGAAUUUGGAGAAGAAACCACAAUAAUAGAAGAAGGGGAGCACAUGAGUUUUAGAGAGAGAGAGAGAGAGAGAGAGAGAAAUGAAUGGCUAUACAUGGAGGACAAAGUGAAAAAUAAGGAAGCAGAGAACAGAAAAGUGUUUUGUGUUGAAAGAAUAUAACUUUUUCAGAGCCAUAGAAAGGAGAGAAGAUCAAAACUCCUUUUUAUUUUUUAUGAUCAGAAUUGCAUGAAUUUACAAUUUG